CGCGUAGGUGGAUAGAUAAGUUGGAUGUAAAAAUCCUGGGCUUAACUCAGGAGGGUCAUCCGAGACUGUUUUGUCUAGAGUACGGUAGAGGGAAGAGGAAUUUCCGGUGUAGCGGUGAAAUGCGUAGAUAUCGGAAGGAACACCGGUGGCGAAGGCGACUUCCUGGACUGAUACUGACACUGAGGCGCGAAAGCGUGGGGAGCAAACA
rnacentral:rRNA from 1 species